rnacentral:rRNA from 1 species
UGGGGAAUAUUGGGCAAUGGGCGAAAGCCUGACCCAGCAACGCCGCGUGAAGGAAGAAGGCCUUCGGGUUGUAAACUUCUUUGAACAGGGACGAAAGCAAUGACGGUACCUGAAAAACAAGCCACGGCUAACUACGUGCCAGCAGCCGCGGUAAUACGUAGGUGGCGAGAGUUAUCAGGAUUUACUGGGUGUAAAGGGCGUGUAGGCGGUUUUGUAAGUCGGAUGUGAAAUUCCCAGGCUUAACUUGGGAGCU